rnacentral:sRNA from 1 species
AAUGCGCCAAGGAUCAAGUGGUAUCCUUUUGUGGGCACACGGACAUCUCUUUUAAACUGAAAAUUCUCCCGCAAAAGAUACAGCGAAGAGCCCGUCCGGAG